GUGUGGGCCGUGUCAACCGGACCUGACAGGGAUGAUGAAUGCAGCGGUUUUUCCGGUUUCUCGCUGCAGCCAACGAAACGGCAGGCGAGCAUCCCACCUGUCCGGCCC
rnacentral:sRNA from 1 species